CCCCCACAACGGCCCUCCAUCCCAACCCCCUCGAACAUGACCCUAUCCAACCAUCAACGCCCACAGCUACUACUACAAGAAAAUAUAAGAAAAUCUAAACAAUGGUAGUAACAAAGCAGCAGCAGGAAAUACAAGGCUCACACAAAUUAGAAAAAAUAAUCAAGAAACAAAACUAAACUCAAAUAGGGAGAAAAAACAAAACUGAGGUAAGGACAAAACUAAC
rnacentral:lncRNA from 1 species